rnacentral:rRNA from 1 species
UCGAACGCACCGCAAGGUGAGUGGCAGACGGGUGAGUAACGCGUGGGAACCUUCCCUAUAGUACGGAAUAACUCAGGGAAACUUGAGCUAAUACCGUAUACGCCCUUCGGGGGAAAGAUUUAUCGCUAUAGGAUGGGCCCGCGUUGGAUUAGCUAGUUGGUAGGGUAAUGGCCUACCAAGGCGACGAUCCAUAGCUGGUCUGAGAGGAUGAUCAGCCACACUGGGACUGAGACACGGCCCAGACUCCUACGGGAGGCAGCAGUAGGGAAUCUUGGACAAUGGGCGAAAGCCUGAUCCAGCCAUGCCGCGUGAGUGAAGAAGGCCUUAGGGUUGUAAAGCUCUUUUGGCGGGGACGAUAAUGACGGUACCCGCAGAAUAAGCCCCGGCUAACUUCGUGCCAGCAGCCGCGGUAAUACGAAGGGGGCUAGCGUUG